GUCUUGAUAGCUUAUAUUUAGAGCAUAGCACUGAAGAUGCUAGUGAGGGUAAUUUUUCCCUUAAGACA
rnacentral:tRNA from 1 species